rnacentral:rRNA from 1 species
GGCGGCGUGCCUAGCACAUGCAAGUCGAGCGGGAAAGUUCCCUUCGGGGAGCGAGUACAGCGGCGCACGGGUGAGUAACACGUAGGUAACCUACCUUGGAGACCGGGAUAACCUGCCGAAAGGCGGGCUAAUACCGGAUAAGACCACGAGGGCUACGGCCCUUGCGGAAAAAGAUGGCCUCUGCUUGCAAGCUAUCACUCUGGGAUGGGCCUGCGCGCCAUUAGCUAGUUGGUGAGGUAACGGCUCACCAAGGCCGAGAUGGCUAGCUGGUCUGAGAGGAUGGCCAGCCACACUGGGACUGAGACACGGCCCAGACUCCUACGGGAGGCAGCAGUGGGGAAUAUUGCGCAAUGGGCGAAAGCCUGACGCAGCGACGCCGCGUGGGUGAUGAAGGCCUUCGGGUCGUAAAGCCCUGUCAAGAGGGACGAAACCUCGUCGACCUAACACGUCGGCGACCUGACGGUACCUCUGAAGGAAGCACCGGCUAACUCCGUGCCAGCAGCCGCGGUAAUACGGANGGUGCAAGCGUUGUUCGGAAUCACUGGGCGUAAAGCGCGUGU